AGAGUUUGAUCCUGGCUCAGGACGAACGCUGGCGGCGUGCCUAAUACAUGCAAGUCGAGCGAGUCUGCCUUGAAGAUCGGAGUGCUUGCACUCUGUGAAACAAGAUACAGGCUAGCGGCGGACGGGUGAGUAACACGUGGGUAACCUGCCCAAGAGAUCGGGAUAACACCUGGAAACAGAUGCUAAUACCGGAUAACAACAGAUGAUGCCUAUCAACUGUUUAAAAGAUGGUUCUGCUAUCACUCUUGGAUGGACCUGCGGUGCAUUAGCUAGUUGGUAGGGUAACGGCCUACCAAGGCGAUGAUGCAUAGCCGAGUUGAGAGACUGAUCGGCCACAUUGGGACUGAGACACGGCCCAAACUCCUACGGGAGGCAGCAGUAGGGAAUCUUCCACAAUGGACGCAAGUCUGAUGGAGCAACGCCGCGUGAGUGAAGAAGGGUUUCGGCUCGUAAAGCUCUGUUGUUGGUGAAGAAGGACAGGGGUAGUAACUGACCUUUGUUUGACGGUAAUCAAUUAGAAAGUCACGGCUAACUACGUGCCAGCAGCCGCGGUAAUACGUAGGUGGCAAGCGUUGUCCGGAUUUAUUGGGCGUAAAGCGAGUGCAGGCGGCUCGAUAAGUCUGAUGUGAAAGCCUUCGGCUCAACCGGAGAAUUGCAUCAGAAACUGUCGAGCUUGAGUACAGAAGAGGAGAGUGGAACUCCAUGUGUAGCGGUGAAAUGCGUAGAUAUAUGGAAGAACACCGGUGGCGAAGGCGGCUCUCUGGUCUGUUACUGACGCUGAGGCUCGAAAGCAUGGGUAGCGAACAGGAUUAGAUACCCUGGUAGUCCAUGCCGUAAAAAACUCAAAGGAAUUGACGGGGGCCCGCACAAGCGGUGGAGCAUGUGGUUUAAUUCGAAGCAACGCGAAGAACCUUACCAGGUCUUGACAUCCAUAGCCAGUCUAAGAGAUUAGAUGUUCCCUUCGGGGACUAUGAGACAGGUGGUGCAUGGCUGUCGUCAGCUCGUGUCGUGAGAUGUUGGGUUAAGUCCCGCAACGAGCGCAACCCUUGUCAUUAGUUGCCAGCAUUAAGUUGGGCACUCUAAUGAGACUGCCGGUGACAAACCGGAGGAAGGUGGGGAUGACGUCAAGUCAUCAUGCCCCUUAUGACCUGGGCUACACACGUGCUACAAUGGACGGUACAACGAGAAGCGACCCUGUGAAGGCAAGCGGAUCUCUGAAAGCCGUUCUCAGUUCGGAUUGCAGGCUGCAACUCGCCUGCAUGAAGCUGGAAUCGCUAGUAAUCGCAAAUCAGCACGUUGCGGUGAAUACGUUCCCGGGCCUUGUACACACCGCCCGUCACACCAUGAGAGUCUGUAACGCCCGAAGCCGGCGGGAUAACCGAAAGGAGUCAGCCGUCUAAGGCGGGACAGAUGAUUAGGGUGAAGUCGUAACAAGGUAGCCGUAGGAGAACCUGCGGCUG
rnacentral:rRNA from 1 species